CAACUACUCCCUCUGUCCCAAAUUUCUUGUCUGAGAUUUGUCUACAUACGGAUGUAUCUAAUACUAAAAUGUGACUUGAUACAUCCGUAUCUAGACAAAUCUAAGACAAGAAUUUUGGGACGGAGGGCAUAAUUU
rfam:Triticum aestivum genome assembly, contig: Triticum_aestivum_CS42_TGACv1_scaffold_030877_1BL